rnacentral:hammerhead_ribozyme from 1 species
AUACAGCUGAUGGGUUCGAAAUAGGACGAAACGCGCGUCUUGGGU